CAGUCGCCACGGGAAUACGUAGGGUGCAAGCGUUAAUCGGAAUUACUGGGCGUAAAGCGUGCGCAGGCGGUUAUUCAAGACAGAUGUGAAAUCCCCGGGUUCAACCUGGGAACUGCAUUUGUGACUGGAUGACUAGAGUACGGCAGAGGGGGAUGGAAUUCCGCGUGUAGCAGUGAAAUGCGUAGAUAUGCGGAGGAACACCGAUGGCGAAGGCAAUCCCCUGGGCCUGUACUGACGCUCAUGCACGAAAGCGUGGGGAGCAAACAGGAUUAGAUACCCCCGUAGUCCCUGUCUCUUAUAC
rnacentral:rRNA from 1 species